rnacentral:rRNA from 1 species
UACAGAGGUCUCAAGCGUUGUUCGGAUUCAUUGGGCGUAAAGGGUGUGUAGGUGGCGCGCUAAGUCGGGUGUGAAAUUUCGGAGCUUAACUCCGAAACUGCAUUCGAUACUGGCGUGCUUGAGGACUGGAGAGGAGACUGGAAUUCAUGGUGUAGCGGUGAAAUGCGCAGAUAUCGGGAGGAACACCUAUGGCGAAGGCAGCUCGCUGGGACGUUACUGACGCUGAGACGCGAAAGCGUGGGGAGCAAACAGG